rnacentral:misc_RNA from 1 species
GGAAAUUUUGGUAUAAGGAAUUGGAUAUGAGGGUCGUAACUGAUUGAGAUUAUAGCAAUGAGAGGCACAGAAGGUCUCAUUUGUUGAUGGAUAGGAAAUCCCUUGAUCUUUUAGGGUUGCUGAAAUCGUGGAUCCCUCAGCGGGAUUCUUCUGCUGACGUGUCGAGGGAUUUCUGGAUGCCCGACGAGAGCUGUAGGGUAUGUUAUGAGU